rnacentral:rRNA from 1 species
GCAGUCGAGCGGACUUGACGGAAGCUUGCUUCCGUUCAAGUUAGCGGCGGACGGGUGAGUAACACGUGGGUAACCUGCCUGUAAGACUGGGAUAACUCCGGGAAACCGGGGCUAAUACCGGAUAUUCUUUUUCUUCGCAUGAAGAAGAAUGGAAAGGCGGCUUUUAGCUGUCGCUUACAGAUGGACCCGCGGCGCAUUAGCUAGUUGGUGAGGUAACGGCUCACCAAGGCAACGAUGCGUAGCCGACCUGAGAGGGUGAUCGGCCACACUGGGACUGAGACACGGCCCAGACUCCUACGGGAGGCAGCAGUAGGGAAUCUUCCGCAAUGGACGAAAGUCUGACGGAGCAACGCCGCGUGAGUGAAGAAGGUUUUCGGAUCGUAAAGCUCUGUUGUCAGGGAAGAACAAGUACGGAAGUAACUGUCCGUACCUUGACGGUACCUGACCAGAAAGCCACGGCUAACUACGUGCCAGCAGCCGCGGUAAUACGUAGGUGGCAAGCGUUGUCCGGAAUUAUUGGGCGUAAAGCGCGCGCAGGCGGCUUCUUAAGUCUGAUGUGAAAGCCCACGGCUCAACCGUGGAGGGUCAUUGGAAACUGGGAGGCUUGAGUGCAGAAGAGGAGAGCGGAAUUCCACGUGUAGCGGUGAAAUGCGUAGAGAUGUGGAGGAACACCAGUGGCGAAGGCGGCUCUCUGGUCUGUAACUGACGCUGAGGCGCGAAAGCGUGGGGAGCGAACAGGAUUAGAUACCCUGGUAGUCCACGCCGUAAACGAUGAGUGCUAAGUGUUGGAGGGUUUCCGCCCUUCAGUGCUGCAGCUAACGCAUUAAGCACUCCGCCUGGGGAGUACGGCCGCAAGGCUGAAACUCAAAGGAAUUGACGGGGGCCCGCACAAGCGGUGGAGCAUG